AUGUGCGCCCCCGGACCCUCGCCCCGGCACCCGGCCUCCUUGCUGCUGUUCCUGCUGCUGGUGGCCGCGCCGACGGGACGGGCAGUUCCCUGUGUCUCUGGUGAUCUGCAUAAACCUACAAAUGUCACCUUCAUAUCCAUAAACAUGAAGAAUAUCCUACAGUGGAACCCCCCAGAAGGCUUGCAAGGCAUGGAAGUUAGUUAUACUGUGCAGUAUUUCAUAUAUGGGCAAAAGAAAUGGCUGAAUAAAUCUGAAUGCAGAAAUAUCAGUAGGACCUACUGUGACCUCUCUGCUGAAACUUCUGACUAUGAACAUCAAUAUUAUGCUAAAGUUAAGGCCCUGUGGGGAACAAAUUGUUCCAAAUGGGCAGAAACUGGACGAUUCUAUCCUUUCUUAGAAACACAAAUUGGCCCACCAGAGGUUGCUUUGACUACUGAUGAGAAAUCCAUUUCUAUUGUUCUGACGGCUCCAAAGAAGUGGAAGAAAAAUCCAGAAGAAAGCUCUAUUUCCAUGCAACAAAUAUACUCUAAUCUGAAGUAUAAUGUGUCCAUAUAUAAUACUAAAUCCAAUAGAACGUGGUCCCAGUGUGUGACAAACCACACCCUGGUGUUCAGCUGGCUGGAGCCGGACACUCUGUACUGUGUACUUGUGGAGUCCUUUGUCCCAGGCCCUCCUCGCAUCACUCACCCUUCUGAGAGGCAGUGUGUCAGUACUCUAGAAGAUCAAACAACAGCAUUGGAGGUUAAAAUCAUCCUCUGGUAUGUUUUGCCCAUAUCUGUUACUGUGUUUCUUUUCUCUGUGAUGGGUUACUCCAUGUACAGAUAUAUCCAUGUUGGCAAAGAGAAACACCCAGCAAAUCUGGUUUUGAUUUAUGGAAAUGAAUUUGACAAAAGAUUUUUUGUACCUACUGAAAAAAUUGUGAUUAACUUCAUUACCCUCAAUAUUUUGGAGGAUUCUAAAACUUCUCCCAAGGAUAUAAGUGUAAUGGAAAAAAGCAGUGAUGUGUCAGACCUGAAUGAGCCCAUCGAGGACCAGGAAGCCCACUGGGAGGAUGUGGAGGUGGAACACCUGGGCUAUGUGUCACAUGUGGUGGACACUGUGUAUGACUUUGAGAAAAGCUCCAAAGGGACUUCCUUAACCCAGCAAGAGCCACCCGGCAGAACAACGCCCAUGGAUAAAACAGUCAUUGAGUAUGAAUAUGAUGUAAGAAGUAGCGACAUUUCUGUGGGGCCUAGGGGACAGGAGUUCAAUUUGCAGGAGGAGGUGUCCCUACAAGGAAAGAUAUUUGAACAACAGGCAACUUUAGCAGGCUUGGGUCCACAAACACUGCUGUAUUCAUAUACCCCUCAGCUCAGAGACUUGGACCACCUGCGGCAGGGGCAUGUGGACACAGAGGAGGCCCCAGAGGAGGAGCCAUCCACCACACUCGUUGAUUGGGACCCUCAGACUGGCAAGCUGUGUAUACCGUCAUUACCCAGCUUUCAACAUGACCCAGAGGGAUGUGGACAUCCUGAAUCUGAGGGGCUCGGGGAGGAGGGCCUCUUAUCUAGACUCUAUCAGGAUCGGGCUCCAGACAAGGCACCGGAAGAAAAUGGAGCCUAUCUCAUGCAAUUCAAGGAAGAAUGGGGAUUAUAUGUACAAAUGGAAGACUAA
rnacentral:lncRNA from 1 species